rnacentral:lncRNA from 1 species
GAGAGCCUUUGGCUGCUUCUGAGACCGGCUGUGGGCUGCCACCGCUGAGCGGCGCGGAGGCUGCAGCGUUCCCUCUCAGGACAGAAAGCAGGCGUUGGGGACUGUUACUCGCAGCCUGCCAGGGGCAGCAGCCGCCCCAGGUUCAAGUGGCUAUGUGCCAGGAUACUCAGGCGCGGCUGUUGGCUGCCCAUGGGAGAGCCAGUGCUCUCCGCAGGUCCAAAGUGCAAGGCCGGGCUAUUCCCGGACUUGCCUAGGAGCAGGGGCCCCCAGCGCGUCUGGGAUUGCCCCGGCGCGUCGGGCGCGCGAACUUGUGCGCAAGGGAGAAGAGCGCUUACCAUGGAACAUGGUCUGCGGGAGGCGGGCGUAGUCAUGAUGACCGCAACUGGAGCAGGAGCAAGCUCUCACCGCCCAUAGUCACUCCCAGGACCCUGGUCUUCCGCGGAGUUGCCGAGUCUGUGUUGGGCAGGGUGAUCUCUGCAGCUGGUUCCUCUUACCCACGCCGCGACUGCAGUUUCAUCCAUCCCAAGGGGGGCGGCACACACUACGGCGUGGCUCUGCGCUUUGCCUUUUCCAUAACUUCCGUAGGAUCCGCCAGCAGUGUACUUUCAGUUUCUACUUUGCGCUUGGUCUGCAGGUUCAAUCUUUGGGAUCAUCAGCAUGGAAUCUUCAUUAUCCCCUCUCUCCUGGGCACCUGCUUCCCGCGCACCUGGAUGAGGACCAGAGGAAUUCGCGAAUUUCCGAAUCACCGCAGGAAAAACCAGCUGGCCUGAAUCAAAGCAAUUCUGGGUAAAAGACUUCCCAGAUGAUCUCUCAACGCCUUGGCAACGCUUGGCGACUGGGAGCUAGAACCAUGAGUUGUUAAUGUGUGCACGGAAGCCACAAGUGUGCAGGACGCAAGCUGGGUUAUUGGAAGCGGACGACACCAAGGAGGCGUUGCCGCGGAUGUGGUGGACGAUGCCAAGUCGUCUUUUAAAAAAGGAAGUGAAGAAUGAUUAAGAGGGUCACGCCCUCUACCACUCCAACCUCUCUAAUCAGUCUCUUUCUGCUCCGUCUGCUGUACAUGCACCUGCUCAGGUGAGACCUCAAGGAAAAAUAAUCCUGUGGGUCCACCUAAUCUGGCAGAGCAAGUCCUUACAGAGCAGGCUGCCCUCAGUGAUGAUGAGUUUUGGAUCUCCCAGAACAUCCCACCUCUUAAAUGUGUAGCGUCUUACAACCACAGUUGCUAACAGUAUGAGUUCUGCAGUUAUACAGAACUAAGUCCAUUAGCUGUGUGACCCAUGGCCAAAUAUUUUCCUUCUCUGUGCCUGCAUUUCUUCAUCUGCAAACUGGAAUAAUGAUAGCAACUACUUCAGAGGACUAUGCUAGAGUGCAAUGGCGCAAUCUUGGCUCACUGCAACCUCC